rnacentral:rRNA from 1 species
AUUGAACGCUGGCGGCAUGCCUUACACAUGCAAGUCGAACGGCAGCACGGGAGCAAUCAUGGUGGCGAGUGGCGAACGGGUGAGUAACAUAUCGGAACGUGCCCAGUCGUGGGGGAUAACGCAACGAAAGCUGUGCUAAUACCGCAAACGAUAUCUGGGUGAAAGCGGGGGAGCGCAAGACCUCGUGCGAUUGGAGCGGGCGAUAUCAGAUUAGCUAGUUGGUGAGGUAAAGGCUCACCAAGGCGACGAGCUGUAGCUGGUCUGAGAGGACGACCAGCCACACUGGAGCUGAGACACGGUCCGGACUCCUACGGGAGGCAGCAGUGGGGAAUUUUGGACAAUGGGCGCAAGCCUGAUCCAGCAAUGCCGCGUGCAGGAUGAAGGCCUUCGGGUUGUAAACUGCUUUUGUACGGAACGAAACGGUCUUUCCUAAUACGAGAGGCUAAUGACGGUACCGUAAGAAUAAGCACCGGCUAACUACGUGCCAGCAGCCGCCGUAA